GCCAAUGUGGUGUAGUGCUUUAAGCAUUGGAUUAUGACUCUAGAGACCAGGGUUUGAAUCCCUGCUCAGGCA